UUGAAAUGAAUAAUGCAAGAUGGAAAGCUUAUAUAUUGGCCAACAAAGAAAACAGCAAGUAAUUGUAAACUUCUAUCCGUGUAUUGACGACAGAAGACAAUAGUGGCCAAGAAGCUCUUACUAUUUCGAAAAUGCGUGCUAAAUUCUUCUCCAUUUUAAUGAUUGUUUGUUGCCUCAUCUGUAUUGCUGAAGGGAAUAGCAAAAGAAGAAGCUGCAUUGGGUCAUGGUGUGGAAAGAGAACAUUACAAAAACACGGGAAAAGAAUCUAUGAAGAUAAUUAUCCAAAUUGGCGUCUGACCAAAGAAAACAGUCACAAAGAUUCGUACCAAUCAGAGGACAACAUGAAUGCGAAUUUAUUAAUUGAAAGACAAUAACUUAAGUAUAAAGGAUCAUUCUUUUUAGCUCAAAAAAAACCUUAAAAUACAAUUAUAUGAAAGAUAGUCAAAGAAGAAUCAAUGAAUGCACUUAACACCUGCAACACUACAUAUGAAUGUAUACAAAAUAUAUAUGAAGAUUACAAAGCUGUGAUAAGAA